rfam:Pseudomonas sp. 5 contig5, whole genome shotgun sequence.
GAAAUUGUCGUCUUCGGCUGACAGCAAAGCCUGGAUGAAAUGCGGUGGAAUGUCGGCGAAACGGAUGGGAGAUCGCCGCAUUUCGCCAAACUCGGCGAUUAGCUUUCCGUCACUGCUGUAGACCCGCAAAGGGAUCUGCAACUGGAUGCUUCUGAGGGCCUCUACCGAGGGCAAGCUGGGGCUAAGAUACAGAAACGCGCCGCUCAGACCGAGCAGGAGAGCGCAAAUGACUGCGACGAAAGACCACCAGAAGAACUUCAGCAGGCGUAUCAAGGCUUUUGGGCGUCCAGGUAA